AAGAGCCUGUGAAAUCAAGAGA
rnacentral:miRNA from 1 species